rnacentral:rRNA from 1 species
CUACGGGGGGCUCCAGUGGGGAAUUUUGGACAAUGGGGGCAACCCUGAUCCAGCCAUGCCGCGUGAGUGAAGAAGGCCUUCGGGUUGUAAAGCUCUUUCAGCCGGGAAGAAAUCGCAUGGGUUAAUACCCUGUGCGGAUGACGGUACCGGAAUAAGAAGCACCGGCUAACUACGUGCCAGCAGCCGCGGUAAUACGUAGGGUGCGAGCGCUAAUCGGAAUUACUGGGCGUAAAGCGUGCGCAGGCGGAUGCUUAAGUCAGAUGUGAAAUCCCCGGGCUUAACCUGGGAAUUGCAUUUGAAACUGGGUGUCUAGAGUGCGUCAGAGGGGGGUGGAAUUCCACGUGUAGCAGUGAAAUGCGUAGAUAUGUGGAGGAACACCAAUGGCGAAGGCAGCCCCCUGGGAUGACACUGACGCUCAUGCACGAAAGCGUGGGGAGCAAACAGGAUUAGAUACCGUGUAGUC